rnacentral:rRNA from 1 species
CAGCAGCCGCGGUAAUACGGGGGGAGCGAGCGUUAUCCAUCAUGAUUGGGCGUAAAGCGUGCGUAGGCGGCUUUUUAAGUCGGAUGUGAAAUCCCUGAGCUUAACUUAGGAAUUGCAUUCGAUACUGGGAAGCUAGAGUAUGGGAGAGGAUGGUAGAAUUCCAGGUGUAGCGGUGAAAUGCGUAGAGAUCUGGAGGAAUACCGAUGGCGAAGGCAGCCAUCUGGCCUAAUACUGACGCUGAGGUACGAAAGCAUGGGGAGCAAACAGGAUUAGAUACCCCCGUAGUCCCUGUCUCUUAUAC